AACGGAUUAACACGACUGUAAGCGGACAUUUCUCGGGUUCUCUCUCUAGCCAAUUAGUACCACUCCAUCCACUUUUCCCCUUCUUUCUCCCUCCGGUGGAUCUCCAGCCACCCAGGCCCGGGCCAUGGGCGGAGACGGCGACUUCAACGCCGCAGGCGGCGGAAGUGGGGUUGCGGGUCGGAGGCGUGGGCGGCAAGUGCGAGGCAGCCGCGGCCGGGAGACGCAGGGCGGCGCCCCGGCCCGAAGGCCGCGGCAGGAGUUCGUCGCCGAGGGCCCGAGGCGGCAAGUGCGAGGCAGCCGCGGGCGGGAGACGCAGAGCGCCGGCCCGUCCCGGAGAGGUCGCGGCAGGAGUUCGUCGCCGAGGGCCCGAGGCGGAGCGCACGGGGUCGGCAGGCGCAGCGCCGGCGAGUUGCUGGAGUACGGGAGGGAGGCACCGUAUGGAUUGUGCAGCGGCGAGGAGGCGCCGGCUGCUUCCGCUUCCGCGCCACGAAGGCGACGAUGCGCGAGUCCCGGCCUCGUCCAGAUCAUCCAUCGCCAAUUCGCCAGGUAGUAGAUCACCAUUGAGAGGUGCUGCUUCUAAGGUGUAAAAUCCAUCCAGAUAGUGGCCGCAGCGUUGCCGCUGGACGGUGCACACUGGAGCUGGAGUAUGCAGCCACGACAGAGCUGCUCCGACAUCACUGUAGGUUGAUGUUCUCUAUCACUCCUGAACACCUUGAACUGUCCUCUAAUUGAUCUAGAGAUUUCUGGGACCUAAAAUGCUCUUGUGUGCUGAGACAAAAUCCCCAAAUUGAUCCUCUAAUUCAAAGGACAGUGAUUUCUGGGACCUAAAAUGCUCUUGUGUGCUGAGAAAAAUCCCGAACUCUCGCCUUUAAACCCAGCAUUUAUAUUAGGCCUAAAUCCAUAAUUUAUACUGAUGUUUAAAUCAAAUUCCCACCUCAAUGGUUUCUGCUAUAAAACUGAGGUGAUGGUGCUGUUAUGUCCUAAGUAUUUUGUGCCUUAAACCAUUUCACUAUUUUCUUCAUGUCGCCAGCUUUCCGUUAAUGAAACCAUUGUGGUGACAUGGGAUUUGUGCUUGUAUGUGAGAAAAAAAAUAUGAUGGCAUGAAGAAAAACACCUUUGUUUGAUGCAAUUGCUCUUUUUUGUUCUUGCUUGCUGGCUUUGUCUCUACUCUGGAUGCAACUGCUUUCUCUUUAGGAAUGCUUCUCAGCUCCUCCCCCUCCACGACAGCCAGCAUUGGUGGUCUCUCAGUUUUUUUAUGGGGAAAGAGAAGUGGAGACAGUGGGAAGGGGGGAACUACUGCCAGGUGAAUAACUUGGAACCCCAUUGUCACUGUUAUAUCUUCUUCUAUUCUUAUCUUUCCUCCUCAAGCAAGUAUACCCAUUUUUUUUCUCCCGAAAAGAGGGUAAAAUCCCCCAUCAUCCAUUGAAGCAAGUGAACCCAUACCUUGGUCUAGAUGAUCCUUUUGAUUCAUUGGUUAAGCUACCAUGCUUACACUAUUUGAGCCCCCUUGUAUGUUUACAAAAACGAUUCGUUCCGUUGCUUUCUUUCAGAUAUCUACUGUAUUCAGUAAGAUGAUUUGACCUUACCUGAAAACUGGAUUCAUGAAGAAGCCCAAAAAGUGCCGGGCUUAGUGCAACCCAGUUCCUAGCCAGUGUGGGGUUGUGCCAUGGAUAUUUGGAGUUGGAUGGGAGUGGUAACCCAUGAUGCAUUUCAGAUUUCACUAUUGUGGUAACUAUUUGGGGAAGAUUUAAAAUGGCUCCCUUCUUUGUGGGCCAAUGUGUGGUUACCACACGACUAACUAUGAUUAGGCAGUCUUUUCUCUUCCCUUCCCGCAAAAAAAAGUCUAUCUUCACAAUCUGGACAUGUUGGAGACCAUUAUUUCUCCUCUGCCAUAGUUUGCUGCUGCCAUGUUAACUGAGAGUUGGUAGCCAAUAUCAAGUGAUUUGGAAAUUUUGUUGGUCUGAACCAUAAAUGUGAUGAUUUAUCACAAUUGUCAUGUGAUCACGAUUUUGUUGAUCACAUUACAUCUAUGCUCUGUUUGUUUGUUUGUUUGUUUGUUUGUUUGUUUGUUUCAUCACAAUUGUCAUGUGAUGAUUCCUGCCCUUUUGUGUGGUCUCUCUCUCUCUCUCUCUCUGUGUCGCAUGUUAAAUCCCCCAAAUUCGAUGGAUGCCUGCUCUUCCUGCCACACUGACAUCAAUUUUUAAAAUUUAUUUGACAAUUCUGCACCAAAUUCCUCUCCUAUCUCGCAUCGGAUUUCAGUGGAACGGGCGAAGAAAAUCGACCGCGCGACACGGCCACCCGAUGUUGGUGAACGGCGAAUGACCUUGCUGUCAAGAUGGCAUUGGAUGUGCAUGAAUUGGGCAUCUGGUUCAGCUAUGUUAGGUUGAUACCUUCUGUGCAGAAGGGAUGGCACUGUUAAUUUUCUCCCUUUGGUUAUUCUGUUGUCCUACAAGGCUAGCUUGAUGUACAUGGCUGGAUAUGCAAUUGGCCUGGGAUGCAAGGUUUUUAUGCUCGUAGGCUCACAUGAUGUACUGAUGGUAACAUUGUAUAUUUUAGGUAUAAGGAGGGUUUCUUGGCUGCAUUGCCUCCUCCUCGCCACCAGCCAGUUAUUUGCUGCAUUUUCAUGUCAAAUUUAAGCAAUUGAUAGUUCAUACAUAUUGUUUUGAUUAUCACGCUGGAUACAAUUGAGUUUAAUUUCUCACAAAUGAUACGAGUUUCUGUUGGUGGUGGCUCGAGCGAUGCAGGACAUCGGUGAGUACAGCGGCGUCUACAGCUGGUGGGAGCGGCGGUCAAGAUCAUGGGCAUGGCUUGGGGAGUGGUGCUUGUGUCGACCAGUGAGGGGCGCAUCUGCUACCAACAUGCCAAGGAUCAGUAGGCGUGACUGAUGAUGCAGAGCCAUUCCUGGGGUCUCGACGAUUUGGGAGUUUGAGGUUAUCAUUGAUUAGGUACCCUGGAGAGCUGCAAGCUGCUUGUCUUGUUUCGAAUCAUGUUCCUGCUGUUUUAUCUUUAUCCCCGCUGAGAGUGCAUUAUGUGGGUAGUGUAAUCAUCAUGCUCUCUGAGGACAUGUAUAGAGUUGCAACUCUAUUUCUUGAAAAUUAACCUUGUAAAUUCCUGUUUCCUUAGAACUGUUCCUGUAAAUUGACCCUGUAAAUUCCUAUUUUCUUAGAACUGGUCCUGUAGAGUCGCAUCUUUGUUCUCUUGAAAAUUGACCAUGUAAAUUCCUAUUUUCCUAGAACUGAUCCUGUAAAUUCUUCCCUGUAUUUUAAUGAAGUUUGGUGUCGGGGCUUUGAUAUAAC
rnacentral:rRNA from 1 species